CAAGCUGAGUCUAGCUGAGCUGAGUAGGUACUAGUGGAAAAGCGGCAGUCUCUGAUAUCUCCAUGCUGACAGCAUGGAGAUAUCAGCUCUGUAACUAGAGCUCUGCUAGCAUUAUAGAAGUGUCAGUAGACAGACGGGAAACACAGCAGAGAGAGGGGAUGAUCUGCAGCAAAAGGCCCAAACUGGAAUCAAACCUUGGCCAGCGUGACAUGUGGUGCAUGUAGUACCAGGAGGAUGUUGGUCCUGUCAGUCCUAUCUUCUGACCUGCCAGUGGUUCAGAUGGACUUAAUCAACUACUUUGCUGUCCUACCAAUCUACCUGUCUGAUCAGAAACCAGUCUUGUCAAGGAUAAA